rnacentral:rRNA from 1 species
UACGGGGGGAGCAAGCGUUGUUCGGAUUUACUGGGCGUAAAGGGCGCGUAGGCGGUCGUGACAAGUCACUUGUGAAAUCUCCGGGCUUAACUCGGAACGGUCAAGUGAUACUGUCGGACUAGAGUACAGAAGGGGCAACUGGAAUUCUCGGGUGUAGCGGUGAAAUGCGUAGAUAUCGAGAGGAACACCUGCGGCGAAGGCGGGUUGCUGGGCUGA